GUAUUUAAAGCAAAAAAAUAAAAAAAUAAAAAACAUUUUUCGAUUAAGUCCCAAAUUGUACGUAAUGAUCUGCGCGAUACUACCACCACGACUUUGUCGUACUUAUACCAUCACUAGUUGUGAAUUUAUACCAUCGCUAAUUCUUCUUGCGCAGCAAUGGCAAAUGCUGCCAUGAUUAUACCGUGCCUUCCAAAUAUUUAAAAAUGAUUCCAGUUAAUCAAAAAUAUAAUUCUGAUGAUGAUUUGGAUGUGGACCAAAUUGUAACAUUAUUAAAUAACAUUUAAAAAUAAAAUUUAAACUAUUUUCAGCUAUUUUUUAGAGACGAUUUUGCUAUUUUUAUGUCUCAAAACCUGGCAACACUGUUUGGAAGACUGUUUUAACAGAAAUCGUCUUUAUGAGUCUUUUUUGAGUCCCCUUGACGAUUAAAAAACGACUAAUCUCCUGGGCGAUUGAAAGAAGACUCAUAAAUGACCCUUCCAUAGUCUCAAAGUAUGAUUGCUUUCAAAUACAAAAACGAAAUGCAAAGCAAUCGCCAAAUAAGCAUGCAGGUGAUUAAAAUAUUAUCAUUGCUUGGUUUUGCUUUGUUACUAUGCACUCAUAUUCUGCUCGCUUGGCUGAUCGAAAAGCGAUUCUUAUCUAAGCUUAUAUCUAAGUUAAACGGUACUUUUUCUUAAGCACAAGCCGAAAUGUGCAAAUUUUGUCAUUCGAGCGUGAAAGUGCAAAUGAAGUGCAAGUGCGAAGUGCAUACAAAUAAAUUAUAUCAAUUAUAUCAAAUACAAAUAAAAAGGAACAUCUAAUAUCGAGAGUUGGAGGAGAUGGGCCCACACAAUUUGUUAGAGCUGCGAUCAGAAAAGUUUUUUCGGACAAGGUAGCUUCCGAAACCAGGUGGAAGGGGACAAAAAUUAAACCAUCAGCAGAAAGGUGUUACAUUAUAGCCGUAAUAAAAAAUAUUGCUAAUGAAAAAUUUACAUGCACUGAUAAGGAUUUAAAUACGGUGCUAAAAAAGCAUUUUGUCCGUGCCAAUGACAGGCUGGAAAAAAAUUCUUUUCAUUGCAAAUUAUUGAAAAUUUCAAUCGAAUAUGAGUCAAAAAAUGAUUAAAUUAUGACUCGUGGAAGACUCUUUUAUGAUUAAAAGAUGACUCGUGGAAGACUCUUUUAUGAUUAAAAACAAGAGUCAUAAGCGACUCAUCAAGAAGAGUCGCGGGUAGGGUACCAUUUUCUCCCGACAGAACAGUCUUUUAUGAUCAGAAAAUGAGCGCACAUAUGACUGUUUUCAAUCAUCGCGCGAGUCUUUUAAGACUAACUUA